rnacentral:rRNA from 1 species
UACGGGGGGAGCAAGCGUUGUUCGGAUUUACUGGGCGUAAAGGGCGCGUAGGCGGCCUCCGCAAGUCGACUGUGAAAUCUCCGGGCUUAACCCGGAAAGGUCAGCCGAAACUGCGGGGCUAGAGUGCAGAAGGGGCAACUGGAAUUCUCGGUGUAGCGGUGAAAUGCGUAGAUAUCGAGAGGAACACCUGCGGCGAAGGCGGGUUGCUGGGCUGACACUGACGCUGAUGCGCGAAAGCUAGGGGAGCGAACGGG